GUGGGGAAUAUUGCACAAUGGGCGAAAGCCUGAUGCAGCGACGCCGCGUGAGCGAAGAAGUAUUUCGGUAUGUAAAGCUCUAUCAGCAGGGAAGAUAAUGACGGUACCUGACUAAGAAGCACCGGCUAAAUACGUGCCAGCAGCCGCGGUAAUACGUAUGGUGCAAGCGUUAUCCGGAUUUACUGGGUGUAAAGGGAGCGCAGGCGGUGCGGCGAGUCGGAUGUGAAAGCCCGGGGCUCAACCCCGGUACUGCAUUGGAAACUGUCGUACUUGAGUAUCGGAGAGGUAAGUGGAAUUCCUAGGGUAGCGGUGAAAGGCGUAGAUAUUAGGAGGAACACCAGUGGCGAAGGCGGCUUACUGGACGAUAACUGACGCUGAGGCUCGAAAGCGUGGGGAGCAAACAGGAUUAGAUACCCGAGUAGUCC
rnacentral:rRNA from 1 species